UACGUAGGUGGCAAGCGUUGUCCGGAUUUACUGGGCGUAAAGAGCGCGCAGGCGGCCGAGUAAGUCGAAUGUGAAAGCCCCCGGCUCAACUGGGGAAGGUCAUUCGAUACUGUUCGGCUCGAAGAUAGGAGAGGGAAGCGGAAUUUCAGGUGUAGUGGUGAAAUGCGUAGAUAUCUGAAGGAACACCAGUGGCGAAGGCGGCUUUCUGGCCUAUUCUUGACGCUGAGGCGCGAAAGCUAGGGGAGCAAACGGG
rnacentral:rRNA from 1 species